rnacentral:lncRNA from 1 species
CCUCUUUUGAAAAUCAAGUCUAACGUCCGAUGACUUAGCAUCCACACAUUCUGUCACCUUCCAGCAGUCAUGCUUCAUUGAUUACUUCCAAACUUAAAGUCUUCUUCAAUGUAUCUGAGAAAACAAAAAAUAGCCUGCGCUAAUAAGAUCAAGCUACUUGACUAAUGUUAAGAAUGUUGAUUCUUAAUUUAAGUACUGUUUGAGGUAGACUACAAUAGAGAAGUGGCUUUAAAGUAAAGAUCAAAAGAUUUGAUUUUACUUCAUUUACAAGUAGAAAGAAAAAGACACAAUGGAGUUAUUUAUAGAUUUCUUUUAGAUUAUUUAAUUUGUAAAUUUUGCAAAAUUACAAAAUCGACAAUACUGUAUUUUUGCUCAUUUGAUUUAGUGAAUUAUUUGAUCCGUGAGAUGAGGUCAUGAAUGUUUGCUUUUGGGGUUUAUCACGUUACAUCUAGUGUUCAAGUUUCAAAUUUUUAGUUAAUUUUAAUAAGUAAUUAAAAUCGUUCGAACACAUUUAAUCUGUACAUUGCAGCAAGAAUUUUUCAAAACUGAUCAUAUGAUAUUUUAAUUGCCUAUUGUCCACUUUUUAGAUAGUCAUUUUUUAGCUAGGUUUUAAAAUUUUCACUUGAUAUCAAAGUGGGCACACUUUUAAGUGUGAUCCACGAAAAAUGUAGUAAUAGACGGAGCACCAUUUAGAUAUCUUAUCUUAGAUGGGAUGAACUACUCAUAUUACAAGAUUAUGAUACAUGUCUAUGUCCAAUCAUGAGAUGAAAAAGCUUGACAUUCUAUCAUGUAUGGAUAUAAAACACCCUUCAUUGCCUUCCGGGGCAUAACUCAGUGGUGCAAAGGGCAGGAGUAAGGUAGUCUCAACCUUGCUGGCAACCGCAGUGUGAGGGUUCGAAUCUUGAGAUAUGAAAUUGGACUCUUUGUGGGCACCAGUGUACGGGCAAGCUCUUGUUCUCUGACUUACUGGAGUUCAUCCCUCGAUUUACCUCCCCCACGAUGCUCCAGGGGCGGGGCGGUGGGGGCUCUCAAGGUUGGGGUUCAACUUUUUAUAAAAAAAACCCUCGGGACUAAAAAUGAUGAAGAGAUAUAGAUGGACGGAAAAAAGCCUAUAGAGUAGGGAACUCUUGAUUUUAGCUAUGUUAGUUGGAAUUCUAAAGCAUUAAAUGAUAUUUUCUCUUUUGCAAGUUUAACCAUUUUGAUCUUAAAGGAACUUUCAUUGUGAAGUCUCCUAAACUUUAAAUGCUCAUCCUUGAAUUUGAACAACUAAUAAUGAGAGAUGAUGAACAAUUCAAGGGCUUUUAUGCUAAAAUAACUACCAUCUAGGAGGGUAAAAAUAUUGAAAGCAUAAAGUGAAAGAGUAACUACCAUGAAGGAGAUAAUUCUUAGUUUAGUACCUGAUAUAUUUCACUACAAAGUAAUUGCCAUCAAGGAGAGUAAAAUAUUGAAAGCUUAUAUAAGGUAAAAGAGUUGGUAGGCCCCUUAAUGACUUAUUAGUUGCAUCUCUAUAGGAGAAAGAAAGAAAAAAGAUCUGGAGUUAUCUUUAAAGUCAAAGAUGUUGAAGAAGAAGAAGAAUAAGAAGAGGAUGAAGAAAGUGAGGGUGAUGAACAUAUAUGGCCAUGCUUACCAAACAAUUUAAGAAAUUCCUAAGGACCAAUAAAAAAUGAAGAAUUUCAAAAUCCCAACCGCAUAAGAAGAAAAAUUCUUCAGCAACUCAAGGCAAAAUUUAACUUUAUCUAUGGAGAAAACUCAAAAUCUUAUUAAAUGCCAUGAAUUAGGAUUUGGACAUAUGGCUGCUGAAUGUACACACAUAAGAAGUCUUGAUCUAAGAAAGUAAUGAAUAUCACUUGUCUGGGAAAAAAAACCAACCAAACCAAUCAAACUAAACUGGUUCGAGUAGGCUCGAGUCGGUUUGAUACGUAUAAUUGGUUUUGAUUUGGUUUGGUUUUUUAAACAAAACUAUGGUGGAUUAGUUUACUCACGAUUUGAAGUCUCAAACCGCUUGUUAACUGAAUCGAUUCAACCCACUUACAUGUUUACCUUUUUUGUUUUUUUAAUAGAGGUAAAAAUCAAAAGAUAAGCCUUAAUCUCAUAAUUUUAUCUCGAUUUUCUCCAAUCUAUGAUAUUGCCAUUAAGUAAUAGCACUGAAAAAGUUCUUUCACAAGCUCAUUAUAUUACACUUAGUAUUUUUUUCUCUACUUGGCAGUCUAGCUACAUAUUGUAUAAAAAAACAACAAAAUUCCUAAGUAUUCUGUUAAUCUGUCUCUAUUAAUAUGCUUUUAUUUGUUAGUCAAUAAUUUUUGUAAUAUAAAAUUAUUUAGUUAUUUUUGUUCUAGUAAUCUAAGUGAGCCCAAAAUUUGGAUUUUUUUUUAAAAUUCAAUUUGUGCUAAAAGUUCAAAUCGACUAACCAAACUGAACCGAACCUACAUUUUAAGAGUUCGAGUGAAUUAGUUUAGGUUACAAUUCAUCCGACCAACUAAUUCGAUUUUGAUUUCGAGUUGGAGUCGAAAUCAACCCAAUCAAAUUGCGUCUAAACCUAAUCACCUAGAGUGAAGAUGAGGAUAGAGAAUCAAAUUAGGAUGCGGAGGACAAAACUGACAAUAACCUGAUAACCUCAUUUACAAUCAAUCUACAAUUUGAAUCUGAUUUGUUUCCAUUAUUGCCUGAAAGUACAAACUUACUAACUACAGAAGUAGUCAGACUACGUCACUUUAUGUUCAAAAUGCACCAUCUUGAAAGGAAUUUGGAAAGUAAGCGAAAAAUGUUACUCCCUAUAAUGAUGAAAUUCAUUGAGGAAGAAAGGACUGUGGUUGCAACUAGAAAACUAACUCUAUCCAAAGCUCUAAAUGAAAAAGAUAAUCAAGUUUUGGAGGUCUUUCUUGAACUGAGUCACACCAAGAAGAAAGUUAAACAACUGACCAUUGGAUUUGCCUACCUAAGUAAAGUCCUUAGCUAUGGAAGAACCUAGAAUAUCAAAAAAGACUUAGACUAUGAAGGGAAACGAAAGGAAAAAAUAAUCUUCUCUAUUGAAGUUUGUUAAAGAAACUUGAUAUGAUAAACCAACCGGCCAGAACACUGAAGUUGCAGCUAAAGUAUUGAUAGAACCAUGUCUAAACAUCAGUAGCUAUCCAAAGCUCUAAAUGAAAAAGAUAAUCAAGUUUUGGAGGUCUUUCUUGAACUGAGUCACACCAAGAAGAAAGUUAAACAAUUGACCAUUGGAUUUGCCUGCCUAAGUAAAGUCCUUAGCUAUGGAAGAACCUUGAAUAUCAAAAAAGGCUUAGACUAUGAAGGGAAACGGAAGGAAAAAAAAAUCUUCUCUGUUGAAGUUUGUUAAAGAAACUUGAUAUAAUAAACCAACAGGCCAGAACACUGAAGUUGCAGCUAAAGUAUCGAUAGAACCAUGUCUAAACAUCAGUAGGUUCUGAUUACCUCCAAACACUUGACUUAGAUUAUCUCAUCAGGUAAUGAGCUAAAGUAUUACUCUCAAAAAGGCUGAUCUUUUUUGCCAAUGCCACAACUUCGAUUUCUAGAAUAUUUCUUUUCUUUGAUAUCAUGUCUUUCAAGAAUUUUACUUAGUUGCAAAUCUGUCUAAUUGCAUCGAUGAAUAGUAUGUUGAUGUGGAGCUUUUUUGGCACAUCUAAGAACUUCUUAAAUUGAUCUUCGAGCUUUCUCAAAUGGUAUGUUGAUUUACAUCCUACAUCGCCUCAUUCACUGCAGAGCUACCCACAUGAAAAUCAUUUCUCCAUCAGAUAUCACUAUUUAUUUUAGCAAACCUUGAAGUCCCACAAGUUCAUCUCAACAAUCUACCUCGAAGAACUGGAUAUUUUGUCUCCUCGAUAUUGAGAGUUAGAUGCCUCAUUGUAGUGAUUUGGGUAUUGUUGAGAGGGUCAGUGAAGAAAGUUCUGGUGCUUGUUUGGUAGGGAUUUUGAUAAUUGAUUUUUUGACCGUUAGAAAUAAAGUGAGUCGUACCUGUGAGAGAAUAAUUCAAAAAUGAUGGUUGGAAUAGUGAAAUAACGGUCAAAAAAUUGAUUUUAAUUGACUUAAUAGCUGUACCAAACAAGCUCUUAGUUUAUUGGGGUUCAAGUACGUGUAGGGGUUGGGUAAUAUAUGGAUCUCGGGUAGGCUUAUUUGGUGUGAUACUUACUUUUGAAAGAAUUACCUUAAAUCUUGAUUUUUGAGAUGUAAAGUUAAAUAGCAAGCUAUAAGGCAAAUUUCCAAGCCUCUCAAAAACACUAUGAAAGUGAAACCGCUCAGCUAUCCCAGCAGUUCCAUUCUCAAGAAUAAAUCUUCGCAUUUGUUUGGCCCCGGUUAAAUUACAAUCUAUUUUUAUCUUGUUCUUAUCAACCACAUAUUUUUCAAUAAAAUAAUAUUGCUCGUAUAUUUAAAACUUUUUGCAUUUUUAAUCACAUAUUCUCCCAAAAAUUAUUAUUUCAAAAUCAAAUUCUCCUUAUAAUUGAGAGAAUAAUGGGGCCAAAUGGGUGCUUUCUCCAAAAUAAAUUCUCAUUAUAAUGAGACAAUAAGGAAGCCAAAGGGUGCUUUCAAUUUCAAGUUGUAUUACAUGGAAGAAAAACAUGUACGCAUGAAAUUUAAAUUUUUUGUUUUUUGAUGAAUUUCCCUGAAGUUAACUCGUUAUGUUCCAAGAAAAUUAUAAUAUAGAAGCUCUGAUUUUUUUUAUUAAUAAAGGUGUUUUGAUUUUUAGUGUCUUAUUUGUUGUCAAUUCUAUAAUUUUUAAUAAGCGGUGAAGAUUGAAGAAGAGCAAGUGAUGUUAAUGUUCUGUUCGUUUUGUUAGUAAUUAGUAGAAUAAGAACCCAUGAGCUUACAAAUUGUUAGUUAUGGGUUAGUUGCUACUGAUUUAUUUUUUUUUUGCUAUUUUGCUGCUAAGUUCGUUGGUUGUAAUGCCUAUAUAAUGGCAAUUUCAUUAUCAUUAACCUAGCAGUUUAUCUUCUUCAGCAAAAGCCUCGUUCUUGCAUUUGUUCUUUCACUAAUGUUCUUGCAUUUUUCUUUUUAUGUACUACUACCAAAAUUUGUUAUUUUUGUGUAACAUCUGGUAUCAAAGCCUCUAUUUUGCACUAGUCAGCAUGCAUCAGACAAUAAUUAUGUACAACCAGCAAUACCUCACUUUGAUAGUCACUAUGAUCAUUGGCGCAUGUUGAUGGAGAAUUUUUGCCAUCUAAAGAAUAUUGGACUAUAGUGGAAAUAGGAUUGACUGAACCAGCCCCUGGAGAGGUGUCGACUGAAGCUCAACAGAAGAAACUUGAAGAGCAAAAGUUGAAGGAUCUCAAGGAAAAGAAUUAUUUGUUUCAAGCUAUUGGUCAUUCCAUUUUGGAGAUGAUUCUACAAAAGGCACAACAAGGGUGAAAAGGCAGCAGUUUCAAGUCCUUCGCAAAGAACUCGAGAUUGUCUAUAUAAAGCAAGCAGAGUUUGUAGAUAAGUGUUUCUCGAGAACCCUGGAAAUAAUAAACAAGAUGUGUAUUCAUGAUGAAACAAUUGUAGAUACAACAGUGGUGGAGAAAAUUUUUCCAUCGAUGGCUCCAAAAUUCUCCUAUGUGGUAUGUUAUAUUGAUGAAUUAAAAGGCCUCGAUGAGCUUUCAAUUGAUGAAUUGCAAAGUUCAUUAUUAGCACAUGAGUAGAGAAUGGCAAUAGAUUUAACCGAGGAGCAACCUCUAAAGGCUUCAACAUAAGUUAAAGCCUCUAUAGGUAAAGGAUCAAAUAGAGGCCAUUAUCAAGGGUGUGGAUGAGGAAGAGUAAAAGGUAGAGGUUCUUACAUACCAGAUUCGCGAGGCAGAGGCAGAGGACAUGACCACUACCAGCAUUCAUUUAACAAUGAUUCAAAGUUUGAUAAGUCCAAUAUUGAGUGCUACCACUUAUGUUCCCCAGGUCAUAGCCAAUCCAUCUUGACAGCGGCCGCAAAACAGCGUGGGUAGUGCAAUUCAGCAGGACUGAAUUGCUUGUGGCAGGAGACAUAGGCAGCUUGCGGCAAGGGACGAAGCAGAUUUGAACAGUGGACACAAAUAGACUCAGUCUGGGGACGCAAGAAGUUUGUUUUGGUAGAUCAUAAGCUGGUGGACACAAACAGCUUUCCAACACAAAAAUGAGAUUUUUCUGAGUCUAAAC